rnacentral:misc_RNA from 1 species
CGAAAUCAUUCCAUCCAGCCGUCGAAGCCGUGUUCUCGGGGGUUUGGGAUUGUGAUUUUGUAUAAAUCUCUAAAGUUUAUGUGCCAACAACUAUACAAAACAAAGAUUCGAACGAGCUGACUGCUAAGCUGCUCCCAGGAUCUGCCGAGCCCGCAUUAUCUGUGAUAUACAGCUCAGCCUCUCGUCCGUCCUAUAAGGGCUGGGCCACUUGGGGCAAGCAGGCAAGUCCUAAGCAGCUUCCAGCGGUGACCUCCCCUGACCUCUGUCACAGAGGCAAAAACACUGCUACCUGCUUAUUGACUGCAUCACUACGAACCAUUGUUACUUAGUCUAUAAUUGAAACAAUAUGCAAUCUGUGAAAAUAAGUAUAAUAUUAGGUGGAUAUUGUAGAAAAUUAUUCUAUUUAUAAUAAUUGUCUGAUGUCUAAUGUUUCUGUAAUAUUAUGUGUUCCACAUCUAAUUAAGGAUAAUUGUUACUCCAAUAUUGAUACUGUUACCGUACCAAUGCAAUGUAAUUACUCCACCUCCAAGUUGGCGGUGAACACAAAUAAAUUUGGUGCUUUUGAGCGAGUCGAUGACAAGAAUGAAAGUCAGCGAGUUAGUGUAAAAAUGAUAGAUAAUAAUAUUUAUAAUGUAGAAUUUGUUGAUAGUACCCAACAAAACCAAAUGAUUGGCGAUACGCCUACCUACUGCAUUCCUUUAAUGAUUAACGCCAUAACAGUCCAGGGUAUCUCAUACAGUGACCCGUAUUUCAGUAGCUUUAACUUAAAGUAUAAGAUGGCGUUUGGAGCGCCAGAGUAUAUGAACAAGUCUGAUUACGCUUUUAAAUCUUCAGUUUGUAUUAAACGAGAUGAGCCUUGCGAGUCGAAACUAUUUAACGAAAAGUCUGCUCAUAAUAUUGUAUGCAAAACGAAAACUCGAAUGAUCACUUACGACGACAAGUUAAGUACACAUCAUGACAAUAAUGGAGUCGGCAAGAGGACCUCAGCUAUGAGGCAGUUUGCUGAUGGAGAUCUCACAUUGGACGCUAUGUUGGAGCUGACCAAGAACGAAGAGCGAAUGACGAAAGCGAUGAGGAAGGAUCAACUGGACAGUUGGGGUGUUCCGCGGAUACUGCGCCUCCGCGGUGGAGGCGAGAGCUCCCUUAAUGCGGCGACGGGCUGGGGAAGCCCGCCGGCCAAUAAUAGCGCUGGGAAUUGGGGCGGAAACUCCAGCGGUCAAACAAAUAAUGGAUCUAACAAUACUCAACAAUGGAAUAACACGGCUCAACGCCCGCCUACUUCCCAAGCCGAUAUGAACAGCAAUAAGGGCAAUGGCAACCAAAUGCCGCCGACGAGUGCAGCCUCAGGGCAAAAUUGGCAGAGUUCCCCACCAAACAUGCCAAAUUCGCAGCCUAACAACAACGGUGCGCCCGCAAAUAACGGCACUAACAAUGGUGGCAAUGGUAACAAUGGAGGCACGAACCAGCCAAAUGCAGCUGGUAAUGCUAACGGACCCUCACCUAACGGGAAUAAUGGAAAUUCUAUGACUGCUUCAUCUGCAAAAAUUGAGCAGCUCAAUUCUAUGAGAGAGAUUCUUUACAGUCAAGAUGGAUGGGGUGGUCAACAUGUGAACCAAGACACCAACUGGGAUGUACCUGGGUCUCCUGAACCAGGUUCAAAAGUUGAGCCAACUGCUGGGGGACCAGCAUGGAAGCCAAACGUUAAUACUGGUGCUUUUCUCGGUACUGAUCUGUGGGAAGCAAACCUUAGAAACGGAGGCCAGCCGCCACCUCAGCCGGCCGCCAAAACUCCAUGGGGACAUACGCCCACCACCAACAUUGGUGGUACUUGGGGUGAAGACGAUGAUACGGCUGAUUCAGCCAAUGUGUGGACCGGACCGCCUCCACAGCAACAAUGGCCUGCUGGACCGCCUCAACACGCUCAGCAAUGGGGAGUGCCUAAGAAAGAUGAUUGGAAUGCUUGGGGCGAACCCCACAGGCAGGCCGAUCCACGAUUGGACCCCCAUCGCACUCCGGACCUACGUCAGCAGUCUUCCGACCCCCGCCACGAUUUGCGCGGAGGAAUCUCUGGCCGUCUGAACGGCGACAUGUGGAGCCAGCAUCACCAACACGCCGGCGGUCCCAACAAAAUGAUGCCGGCAGGCGCUGUCAACCAGUGGGGAGCUCAGGGUCCCAAAGACACCAUGAAGGGCUCAGGCUGGGAAGAACCAUCACCCCCGGCGGCGCGGCGUGCCGCUGGCGGUUUCGAUGACGGCACGUCCCUCUGGCAGCGCAGCGGGAUGCCCGGCAUGGCUGGUCGCGGGGCUCCACAAGGCCCGCCCGUGGCACAGCGUAUACCGCCCACACCCACCAAGCCAGACGGCGUAUGGGGAGCACAUGGGCAAAGAAACGGCACCUGGGAAGAGCCUCACGCUCCAGGAUGGCCCGAGCGCGACGCGAACCCUGGAUGGCCUGAUGCGGCGGCUGGACCCGCACUGUGGUCUGUUCCGAAACAGAAACCGGGCCCGGGCGGAUGGCCCGAUGACAUUGGUGAAUGGGGUGGACCAAAGCCACCCCAGAGCGGCCCGCUUGGGAAACAGAUCCCGAAGGAACUUAUUUGGAAUAGCAAGCAAUUUAGGGUGCUCGUUGAGAUGGGUUUCAAGAAAGAGGAGGCCGAAGCCGCGCUACGUAGCCGCGACAUGAACACUGAAGAGGCUUUGGAGAUUUUAACCAGUGCUCGCGGGGAGCAAUGGCGCCGCGACGAACAGUUCCCAGGCCACCACGGACCUUUCCAACCCCCUCCUUCGGUACCAGCCGUGUCUCCGGCUGUGGUACAGAAAUUGCUGAACCAGCCACCACCUCAGGCUGUGCAGCAUCAUCAUUCUUAUCCUAACAGUGGUACCGGCAGUGGCCAACCCAGUGCAGCUCAACUACGCAUGCUCGUACAGCAAAUACAAAUGGCUGUGUCAGCCGGCUACCUCAACCAUCAAAUCCUCAACCAGCCGCUUGCUUCACAGACUUUGGUCCUGCUCAAUCAGUUAUUGCAGCAGAUCAAAGUACUGCAGCAAUUGACACAGAGUUCAUUGACCAUGUCCAAAGGCAACACGUCGCUUGCUCUGCAAUACACCAUGCAAAUUACCAAGGCCAAACAACAGAUUGCGGCUUUACAGAACCAAAUAGCGACACAGCAAGCAUUAUUCAUGAAACAGCAAGCGGGUGGUGGAGACAUCUUCAAACAAAGUCACGAUCCACUUGCUCAACUGCAGAACAAUUUUAGCGAUAUGGGUAUCGCUAAGGAGUCUCAAGGGGCCUAUGGAGCCAGUGGAAACCAACAAUCUCGUCUCAACCAGUGGAAGCUGCCUUCGUUGGACAAGGACGGCGAAGGGUCAGAGUUUAGUCGCGCUCCGGGCACUGCCAAAUCUACAACCAGCCCUCAAUUGAACCAGCUUGAUUCGACUUGGGGCGUGGGUCGCGGCGAAGGCUGGGGCGACAGCGGCGCGGACGUCGCGGACGGCAAGGACGCGUGGCCGGCGCAUCCCUCGCACCAGCCCGUCUACGACCUCGUGCCUGAGUUCGAGCCCGGGAAGCCCUGGAAGGGCAACCAGAUGAAGAGCGCGGAGGACGACCCGGCUAUGACCCCAGGCUCGGUGGUGCGCUCGCCGCUGUCGCUGGCCGCCAUCAAGGACACCGACAUGCUCGGCGGGAAGACUUCGCCCCCCGGCGAGAGGCUGCUGUCUUCCUCCACCUGGAGCUACGCCCCGCCAGCCACCAGCGCCGGUCCUGGCGUUGGUAGCGGCGGCUUGAAGGCCGGCGCUGACGCGUGGUCGGGCUCCAAGCCGCGCCCCGCGCCGCCCGGCCUCAACAAGGCGUGGCCGCAGCACAGCGCGCCGCGCGUGCCCAGCUGGCAGGCGUCCACCUGGCUGCUGUUGAAGAACCUCACUGCUCAGAUUGAUGGGUCCACUCUCAAAACACUGUGCGUUCAGCACGGCCCACUACAAAACUUCCACUUGUAUUUGAACCAGGGCUUCGCUCUCGCCCGUUACUCUACUCGUGAAGAAGCCGCUAAGGCUCAAAUGGCUCUAAACAACUGCGUGUUGAGCAACACCACUAUCUUCGCGGAGUCCCCAGCGGACUCGGACGUGCACAUGAUUCUGCAGCACCUCGGCAACGGCGGCGGCGGCGGCUGGCGCGCCGGCGGCAAGGACUGGGCCUUCCCCACUCUGUGGCCCGACCACGACCAGCGCGCCACGCCCUCCUCGCUCAACUCCUUCCUCCCGCCGGACCUACUCAGCGGUGACACCAUCUAAUUUGAACCAGUAGAUGGCGCUCUCUCGGAUUUCUAAAUUACCGACAGACGGCGCCGUUGUUUUAGUGCGCACUCGUCGCGUUGCUGAAGUUGAGCUGUUUCGCCGCCGGUUUGAAUGGACUGAUAAAUAACGAAUCCGGCGACGCUUUUAGUAUUCUACGGAGAUGUUGAAUCGUUACGAGUGCGCCCUAGAUGGUGUAGUUCGCUUCGUUGGAAGUGUACAUUUGUAAUUACGCUUUACGCCCCCGGGGGCAGACUAAUAUAAUUUAAUUCGCCUACUAGUCAGAUCGUGCCGGGCGCGCCGUACUCGCCGCAGCACGGCGCGGCCGCAGUAGCCAACUGUCCACAAUACUAUUAUCUACUGUGUUGUAAGUGUUCAUGUAGAAUAUUUAGUGUACAUAAGAAUAUACAUAUACAAGCAGACAUAUAAUGUAUCGACAGCUAUGCUAUCUAUAGAACGCGGCGGGGUCGCCGAGUGAGACCCGCUUCGCCGCCGCGACAGGACCCGCUCGACUCCUGUAUAUCUACCAAAUAAUGUAGGUACUUGUAGAGUAUUGCGUCGCGGGCUACCUCAGUCACUCGUCCCGUGGCCUUAUUUUAGUGUGUAUUUAUUUUGUUGCGCUCGAGGGCUGUUGCUGUUUCGCCCUCAGAGCUGUUGCGUUCCGAUUUUUCUUUUUUCGUGUUCGUUUUUUUUAUUUUUCUCGUUUUAUCCAUACUGAACGUAUUUUAAUUAUUUAUUCUAUUUUUGAAUUCUCACUCGCGUUAAGCUUUCGGUUUCCAAUAGUGAUAUUUUUAUUCAGCAAUAAACGUGUAAGUGCAUUUCGCUAACAAAACGUUUUAUAAUUAGUUCGUAAUUUUUAUAAAGUUAACAAAAUUUUGAAAUGAUGAGAUUCGAAGUGCAUUCUUGUAGUGGUAAAUUCCUUUUAAGCCGUAUAGUCUGAGAUGGAAAUGUUCGCGCGGCGUGGGCGACGCGGCGCCAUGUGAUGUAGUUCUUGCCUAACGUAAGGAAAUCUAUUUUGUUGACGCCCGGCCGCGCCGGCCCAGAGCCGACCUCGAAUUUCCCCAAAUUAUUUCCAGUAUUUGUGAUUCAAGUGCCACUUUAUGUUUAAUAUAUGAAUCGAUUAUCUAGAAUAUACGAUUAAUAUAAGGGUAACCUAAUAUAUUAAAUUGAAAAUUGUUUUAUCAUUUUAUAUUACAUACAUUUGUGAGAAGUGUUAUAAUAAAAGUACUAUGACAGUAAUUUAAAUAUUACACUUUUGUGUAUAGGUAAGAAUAAAGUUCUAACUUAAAUUUAGCCAUAUCAAUAUCUAUUUAAUAAAAGAUUUGUGGUAUUUUCUAUAGGCUCAAUUUGAACGUUAUUCAAAGUGACAUAUGCUUUAGAUAUUCUGUUAAUAAUAUACUUGUAGUCGUAGGAUCUGUGUCGGUAUUACAUCAUUGUAGAUAUAAGUUAGAGUGUAAGCCCUAUCGUAGGUUUCUAUAAGCAUACUGCUGAUAUUUACGGCAACGAUCGCACGUUAAAUGUUCGAAAGUUUAUUUACAUUUUUAUUUACUUUUUAAUUUAUUAAUGGUGUGCCACAGAGAUACUCUGCCAAACUAUAUCAUUACCAAUAUAUUCGGGAUAGCUGGGAAGCUGCCCGCGCCCUGACGAGACUCCGCUUUCGGUCACCGCGAUCGAUCACAAAAAGCGAAUUACUAUAAUUAUAUAAUGUACAUUUUAUCUGUAUUUCAUGCAUCUUCCAGUGAUCUUACGAUCUAAACAUAACGAUUUAGUGUUAAGUUAGGUGUAAGUGAUCGUACCUUGCCGGGCCUCGCGCUCGGAAACUCUUCACAAACUAAUGGAUUAAGUUAGGAUCGCGAUGUUGGAUAUAUUCGUGCGUUAUAAACUUUUAUCGCUUUGGACCUGUAGUAGUUCUAGUGUUAACUAAAUGUUUCGAUGUAUCAUGUGUUCAUUUAGAAACAAAAUUAGCAUUUGUCAUUACUACCUUAUUAUCUAUAGGGACCGAGUUUAUUCUAUUUACGUGAAUUGCAUGUUCUCCGUUGCCUUAGCAUGAAGUACGUUAACCACGAUUUUGUUCAACGCGGGACUUUCACUUUUUCUAUACCAAAUUUUGUAUCACAAUAGCGAAAUGGCACAAUAUAUUAAAUACACCAACUUAAUUUCGCCUUUCGACGGGGCCAUAAUUAUCGAUGUUAGAUUGCCAAAGAGUGUGUAUCAAAGAUAGAUGUCAGGAACAGCAUUGCAUCUGUGCUUGAAUGGCGUUUCUUCCAAAUUAUUGAAAUUAGUUUCGCGGUACGGGUUUUUGAUCUGAUGUUCCUAUAUCAUUCGUGUUACGUCUAUACAACAAUAGCGCACGCAUACAAACAGGCAAUGUCAAUUCUAUUGUUGUCGAGCUCAAUUUAUGUGAGGGUGUUUCUUUUUACUUGUUUAAUAAACUAAAUAAAAAACAAAAAAAAAAAAUAAAAUAAAAAAAAAAUGUUAUUUUUAAAAUGAUAUUGUUCUGUCCACCUCUACACCGAUAUUUCGAAAUGACUCGAUUUCAGUAGUUUACUGGUAUAAUGUGAAUUUAAUGCAGCAAUAAAUAUAAUUUAAUUUUUAUAUAAAUUUUCCAUUUUUAAAGUUAGACAAGCCGAGUAAACGGAAAGUAUAAUGAUCCAGUGCCCUGUAGAAUAUGUUGUCCAAUAGAAUAAAGACGAAAGAAGUCAUGCCUUGAAAUUUUUUAGUCAGUUAAUGUAAACAGUACUUAAAUAAUGGAUAUAUUAUUGUAUGGACAUAAUGUUUAGGCGUUGUGGUAUAAUGGUGUUAGGUCUUGUAGGAGCGGCGUGCAAGUCGUGUGCGUUACCGCUUGCAGAGUGCAAGCGUCGACGCUCGCGGCUGGCACGAAUGGUGACGUCAGGGCUUGCGUCUAGCGCCACCGCUAGCGUCAGCGUUUGUUCCAUCGUCAGGGUUUGCGUAUGGCACUUGUGCCAGCGUAGGUACUGCGAGCCGUUCCGACAGCAAGGUUGUGAGAGGCGGCGACCACAAGCCGCCGCGUUUUCUGAAUCUCCUCUUGGUUCAAUGACUGCAUCAUUUCCUGCACACAGUUGCGCCACGUGCAAUUUAGUCUGUGUUAUUAUUAUGUUGUUGUAUAUUUAUAUCCUACGUCUAUUCUGUAAUAUGUAUAUAUUGUGAAAUUUAUAUUCGUAAAAGAUUAAAUACGCUUCACGCUUCACUUUUAACAUUUUUCGUGACUUGUUUCUGUUAUUUAGAAUAAAUUUACGUACCUAAAAGUAAUUAUAAUAACUAUCAUAGGUGUAAAUGUAAGAAAAAUAAUAAAAAAAAAAACAAAAAAAAAUGAAAAAAAAAUAUAAAAGCAAUUAAAAUAAACCAAUGAUUGUGCCUCAAUGAACUGUGGUACGUUACCGUAACCGAUGGCAGGUGUAAUCGUUUCCUUCAAAAGUUAUGAUAAUGAAUUGUGCGCUAGGCACCGCUCGUCGCUCGUGCGUGACAUCCGUAGACAAUAUAAGGCUGCGAGCAGCGGGCCUGGGCCCUCGCCUUGUGUAAUCAUUAAUGAGCUUAGCUAUGUUUUACUUUUAUUGUAAGUGUUAUGUCAUCAAUCAGCAUUUUAUAUAAAUACCAACAUAUGUGUAAAUAAUUUUAUAUAUUUAUUUUUGGUUUUCAUGAAGUUUACCCGAAUUUAACGUUUAAUUGAGUUGAUUGCUUUUUCUUGUCAGGUACGUUAUAUAAAUCACGUUGGUUUUCAAUUAUUCCAUAACACUCCAAUGCCAAAGUCGAUGUCUAUGCCAUUAAACGACUAUUAAUGUUCUUAGAUAAUCUGCGUGGAUCUCGGACAUCACAACAAACUAUUGAUCGUACAAAUGGGAGCCAUUUAUUUUAAAAACAACCGCCGCUGAGGUCGUUGUUCCAUCCAAGCUGCUCUGGUACUUAGCUCAAGUAUUCAAAUAGUAGUUUGCUCAUAAUAUUGUUGUUAAUUUUAAUUUGUUUAUUAUCUUUAGGACGCGGCGCGCGAUCGCAGACGCCCCUCUUACGGACAGCAUUUUAAAUGUAAAAGUACUACAAGUUCAGAAACAUCGAUAAUACUGCAGUCGCGAGUCGCGCUCUAUGAUUUAUAUAAAUUCUAAAGUUAUUUUAAACGUCAAUUAGCUUGUAAUCUUGUAACGGACCAUUAUUGCGUCUUAUUGGCGGAUGACAGCGUUGCAUGCUGUCACAGUUUCACGUUCUAAUCUUGUUUGUACAGCAUAUCUCGCGAUUGUUGUCACCCUACUUGAACGCGACCUACAAUUCCAGUAUAUGAGAUCGUUUAGUUGAUACGUGUCUACUGACAACGAUUUUUAUCAUAAUUCCAAUAUAUCUAGUAGGGUGAUCACUAUAUUUUAAUAGUAUAUUACGUUGAUAUUUAUUUUAUAAUAAUCAGAAAUGCACUGUACUUUACAACCGGCACAUGUUACUUAUUUCUAUACUACACUCGGAUUUAGGGACCAAAACUUAAGGCUUAUUAUAAUUUUACGCCGAACAGUCGUUUCGAUUGAUCGAUUCAUACUAAAAGACAUUCACAUUUCCCAUUGUUAAUAUUUUUCCGUCGCAUAAAUCUUAAUGACGAAGUUAUAACUAGUGAUAGUGUACAUACAAUAUCAGGAUGGCCUUUUUAAUUUGAUAAGGUUAAAGUUUUGCUUGUUGUCUUUAUUUAUAUAUAUUUUUGUACGUUCCGUAGUUGGCGUAGUGCGUACGGAUACAAUAGCGCGUUAGGUGAUAUCGACAAAGAAACUAGUCUUCCUUAUGAGGGACGUGACGGUGGCGGAGAUGCGACGUCGGCACAAGAGGCAAUCAUUCCUCUAGUCUUGUUAUGUGGUGCGUUAAGUGAAUACCAAAUAUAAAAUAACGAAGGCUUACGUAGUGUAGAGGUUAUGAUAGACCGCCCGAGCAGCUUGGACCCUGUCAAAUGUUACAAGGGAAUGGUUGGUUAGUAUUAUUAUAAUGCAUUUAUUUCUCUUUUUAUCAUAGUCACUCAAGCAUAUAUUUUUAAUUAAUUGAGCUAAUGCCUAAAAUUGGAAUAUCAGAGUUUAUUUAGGAUGUUUAAUAUUUUACAUUUUAGUGUUUAAAUAUCUAAAAUUUACCUUAAUUAUAGUGAAUGGAUUUUUGUAUUAUUGGUAUAUAGCUGUAAGUCAAAGGGUGUUCUUGAUAACACAACUGAUUAAUACAAAAUAAAAAAAAUUGUACUGAGUGACUUUACGUGUAAACCGAGGGCCAUUGAUAAAAAUGUUGAACUAAGCUAAAUUCUCUAUAUGGUAAUUUAACUAAAUGUGAUUGCUGAGAAUAUUUUUAAACUGCUAUAUGUAUAGUUGUAGAUCAGUAAGUCGCAAUUAAUGUUCGCCUGCCAAGUACGGGUGUACUUGGGGGCGGCAUGCAUCGUGCACACCCAUGUUGCUUGCUACUCCGAGAGGCUUCACUCGGCAACCUACUACACGAACGAUUCAGUGUAACCGCAUUUGAUCCGGUCUAUCAGCAUAUAGUUAUGUAUAUAUGUAUGUGUAUCAGGGCCAACCCCCCACCCGACAGUUAAUUGAUGCAGUAGACUCACUGCUCACUAACUACAACACUGCUUCUCUAGUCUCCCUCGCAUUCAACCAUUGCUUUAAUGAGCUACGUUGACGAGCAUAAUUAACAAUCAUAUCCUAAUGACUCUAGUUUAUAUUCGUAUUAUUCUUUCAUUAGAUCUCUGUUGUACCUGUGUGAAAUUGUUUAUAAUCAAUAUUCAUGUACUGUAAGAGAACUGGUCUCGACUCGACGUCGCCGUUGCUUGAUAUUGAUAUACGUAAUCGCGUAGUACUAUACUAAUGACCAAAUGUUCCGUUCGAAAACGAUAACCUCUCAAUAUAGAUAGAUAUCUUUGUCUAUUGGCGUCAAAAAUACUCUGCGGUCUUAAAUUAGUCACUUUUGUACCUUGAUUGUACUUGAAUAAUAAUCUAGUAAGUGAGGACGACUAAUCCAAUUCUGAAAUAUACUUAAUUUAAAUUUUGACAGACUGAUAUCUGUGAUUAAGAAAAUAUUUUUAAUAUUGUCCAGUGCGUCGGAUAAAUAAUUAUUUUAUUAGAGAUUUCCUACUGCCGCCGGCACUUGUCUGUGACGAGACACAACGCUUUGUGUAUUUUUUACUUUAGUAGUGUAUCGAUGGAAACUAAUUUGAUAGAGCACGUAGCUGUGACACCCGCCAGUACGUGGGUUGAACGCGGCUAUGGGCCAGCUUUUGAACCCCACCACGUUGAGUAGCUACCUAUCCCAAUGAACGCAGAGGAAGCAAGAGUGUGUAACUGUAACGCGUUACGCGUACAGAGACUGACAUAUAAUUGAUAAAACGAAAUUGUUAUCUAUACCACCGAAGUCAUCUGAAACUUGUUUUCCUUAAUAUUUGAUCUUGAACGUUGCAUAUCGACUACAUUUCUAAUUCGAAUUAUUUUGUUGUAUUCAUAUCCGUAAAUCCCAUAUGAAUUAAGUUAAAUAUAAAAAUCUUAAGUUAUCAUAAUAAUUGAAACUAAAUUGAAUGCCUGUAGUGUCGUAGUGAGUGACAUCUCUAAAUUAAAUAGAGAAAUACAAAAUUGGCGUUGUUAAUAAAUGAAAGUAAUAUUUUUCGGUACCACCUUUGAGUUAAAGUACAACGUAGUUAUAAAUGUUUCAUUGACGUAUGUAUUCAUUGUAACAAUAUCAGGAUAAUGCUAAUCGAUAAGUUAGAGUAGGAAUAAGCUGUCUCGUCUCACAUUACACCAAUUAAUAAUUAUUCUCCUCGAUAUUUGUAUUGGAACACUUAUGUAAUAGGCAGAUACUAAAUUAUUCAUAAUUAUAUCAAUAGGCUAAAAAUUAAAAAGUUUUUCUGUGCAUCUGUGAUGGGAAAAUUUUAUUCUAGAAAACUAAGUAUUACCGAGCUGAGGGUCGCACGUACUAGUUUCUCGCCGUUGUGGAAGAUACUGCUAACAAAUACUCAAUAGUAUGUCUUUUGCUAACGAACGAGGAAUGAAGUCUUAUGGUACUAUAUUCAGGGACCCGAGGUUCAAUGUGACUUUAAAAGUUGAACUUUUCAGUCUUUUCGCGCAAAGGGUUGUGUAUUAUUUUUAUGUAGUACAAAUGUGUUCGCAAUUUGAUUGCUGCUGUAGUGUUCCUUAUGUUCUUAUUCAAAUUUGUUGGAUAUUUUUUGGAAAGAUAAAUAAUAGUAUUUUCUCAAUGUCUAAAUUGUAAUUGUAAUGGUCUUAAAAUACGAGGCAUGCGUAAUCUUUGUCAUAGUUUUGUAUGAUCGGCUGCCUUAAUAGUAAUACGUGUAUCAAUCUGUAACCAUCCUCUACGUAAGUUCCGUAGGCGAUUCUAUGUAGCUGCGGAGUCGCCUGUGAUCCGUCACGUACCAAAUAAUAGAGUAGCGGGGUUAAGCGUCACGGUGGGCCAGGGAAUACGACCGAUGUAAUUUCCAUAGAAAAAAUACGCGCACCAAACGCAAUUGAUUUGAAUUCUCGAGACUUCAAAAGUUAACGAUAUCAAAUAUCAUCUAUCACCAGUGGGCGUAUUUUUUCUUUGGAAAUUACAACCGGCUGUUUUGACAGCAGCGAGUGUUGGUCCUGCGAGCCGGAUCGCUGGCAACCGCGGCGCCGUCGCAGCGGUUCAAGUUCUUUAUCUAUUACCUCAUUCAUUAACCUCACAUAGUGUCUCCUAUAUAUCAGACUAUUUCUCUGUACUUAUCACGCGCACUGCACUGUUAUUUGGUACACAUAAAAUUUUCUUAAGUUAAUUUAAGGUAUUUAUCGUGAAUUUUAACAGUGUAUCAAAUAGUCCAUAUAUUUUCCUGUUAUUUUUCUGAGACUAAAAGCAAUGUAUUUUACAAACAAAACAGGAGAACAAUAAUUAUUAUGUAAGUGUAACAGUUAGUGAAUUUAAGUGUGCUAUUUUUCAUUCCAGAACUCAACGAUAUCAAUGUUCUUGUAAUACUUAUGUUCGGGUUUAAAAAGAUGUUAUUAUAAUUGUAUAAUUAAACUAAACCUUAUGUGAUUGAAAUGCAAUGUUUAGAAGUAUUUUAUUCUUUAUUUUUUACCAUUAAUUAAUAAAUAGUUAGUAGAGAUCUAUUUGAGAGUCUAAUGUAUCAAUUAUUUGUAAAGUUGGCUGUAACUAAUUAGAAGUUACAAUAAGUAGACAUAUUUUAAUAUAAAACAUUUGGAGCAAAUUUUAUGUAGAUGACAAAUAGUUGUUUUGAUCAUUAUGUGAAGUGUUGUAUCGUAUUGUAUCGUAUCGUAUCGUUAGCGCAAUGUGUACGCACAACGGUGAGGCGGGCCUCGGCGCGGGCCGCAGCGGGCGCCGGGGCUGGUAGACCCUCGACACUCACUGCACAGCACUGCUAGAAUAAUUCAGUUAUUGCGUAAGGAUAUUUUUCUUACAUCUCGAUAAGAAUAAUGUUUAUAGUAUAGGCAAUAAAUAAUAUUUAACAAAAAGUCCCUAUGUAAUCGAACUGACGACAGAAACGCAUGUUAUAUUUGUGGCCUCUUUAUGAAUAAGAUCUAAGUUACAUGUUAAAGAAAAUUAAUUUUGCUAUGCACAGAAAUGAUACUCAAUUAAUUGCCAAAAAGUUAUAUGUAUAUUCAUAGUUCAACAAUAUUUCUUUUGGGCAUAUUUACUUUGAAUUUAUGCAAAAAUUAGAUUAUGAAUAAGUAGGUUGUAGAAUUAUAUGUAGAGUGGGUUGCAUAUUAUAUCUAUAUAUUUAACGUAAGGUGAAUUUGAGAGCUAUCAAUUUCUUGUAUUGUUCAUAAGUUUAGAUAAUAAAUGGGUUUAGCCAUACUUCGGCUGGUUUGAUAUGUAUGUUAUCUGAUUAAUUGUA